AACAAACGCUGGCGGCGUGCCUAAUACAUGCAAGUCGAACGGGGAGAGUAGCAAUAUGAGUACUAGUGGCGCACGGGUGAGUAACGCGUGGAUAAUCUGCCUUGAAGAGGGGGAUAACUAGUCGAAAGAUUAGCUAAUACCGCAUAAGACCACAAGAACUGAGGUUCAAGGGGUCAAAGGUUUUUCGCUUCAAGAUGAGUCCGCGUAAGAUUAGCUAGUUGGUGAGGUAAUGGCUCACCAAGGCAACGAUCUUUAACUGGUCUGAGAGGAUGAUCAGUCACACUGGAACUGAGACACGGUCCAGACUCCUACGGGAGGCAGCAGUAGGGAAUAUUGCACAAUGGAGGAAACUCUGAUGCAGCGACGCCGCGUGAGUGAUGAAGGCCUUCGGGUCGUAAAGCUCUGUCGCAGGGGAAUAACACAAUGAAUGUACCCUGUAAGAAAGGAUCGGCUAACUUCGUG
rnacentral:rRNA from 1 species